rnacentral:lncRNA from 1 species
UCGUAAAUCAAGCGCCUCUUUCAUAUUUAUAUUUAUGAACCCUAGAUCCUAAAUCACCCGAACCCUGUUGUUUGCGUUUUCUUUAGAUAAAACAAUAAUUGCGGGUUUAGAGUUUCUCAAUUGCAUACAUCGGCUGUUUCAGAUGUCUUGGAGUAUUUAGGGUUUUUCAAUCAACUUGAUGUCGUCGAGAAUCACCAGAAUUUUCAGGGUUUUGUGAGAAUUGCGAGUUUAAGGUUUUCCAAUCAUGGAAUUUGACGAUCAUCUGACGUGUUCUUGGUCUGCCGUAGAAUUAAUUAACAGGCAAGUUUCUUCCGUAAUGGUUUACGAUAAUCUUGUUCUUUUGGAAUUUGUUAAUUUUCUGGGUUGAUUAGUGAUCAGAUCUGCAGGGUUUGUAAACAAAUCUCAACUAUUUUCUCUUGUUUUUUCAGUCGUUUCCUUUGUUUCGAACUUGACUUCUAAACUUAUUUGAUUUUGUAGUUUUGUGAAUUUUCUUGUUUUGUAUGGUGUUUUAUAAUACUGAACUCACAUGUGAGAACUUGUGAUCCUGUUACAAGAACGCUUAAAAACCCAUUCCAAUUGAUAUGUACUUUGAGGCUUGUACUUUGCAGUUGAUUGGGCGUAUUUGUAGCAGGUACUGCUUUCUCGAUGGAAGUUCUUUCUGUUGUUUUGACGUUUGUUAUUGUUCUAUACCUUCCUGAAUCUUUUUGAUUUUACGUUAUUUUUUUGCUAGCCGCGUUUGUUCAACACUCUCGUAUUAUUGAAGUUGUUUCACUUCUCAGAUGUUUUAAUGUUUUCAACACUCCCAUAUUGUUUUUGAUGUUUUCUGCUUGUUCUUAUUUUAGUUUUGAAUUUAAAUUCUAAACUUAUUUAAUUUUGAAGUUCUGUGAAGAUAUUGUUUUAUAUAUAAACUAUUGUACAUUUCGUGCUCUAUAUCGUGUUUUACAAGACUGAACUCACAUGUGAGAACUUGUGAUCCUGUUACAAGAACACCUAAAAACCCAUUUUAAUUGUUUUGUACAGAGUCUUGUACUUUGCAGUUGAUU